rnacentral:rRNA from 1 species
UACGUAGGGUGCGAGCGUUAAUCGGAAUUACUGGGCGUAAAGCGUGCGCAGGCGGCUUUGCAAGACAGAUGUGAAAUCCCCGGGCUCAACCUGGGAACUGCAUUUGUGACUGCAAGGCUAGAGUACGGCAGAGGGAGAUGGAAUUCCGCGUGUAGCAGUGAAAUGCGUAGAUAUGCGGAGGAACACCAAUGGCGAAGGCAAUCCCCUGGGCCUGUACUGACGCUCAUGCACGAAAGCGUGGGGAGCAAACAGG